rnacentral:rRNA from 1 species
UGGGGGAUGGACUCGCGGCCUAUCAGUUUGUUGGUGAGGUGAUGGCUCACCAAGACGAUGACGGGUAGCCGGCCUGAGAGGGCGACCGGCCACACUGGGACUGAGACACGGCCCAGACUCCUACGGGAGGCAGCAGUGGGGAAUAUUGCACAAUGGGCGAAAGCCUGAUGCAGCGACGCCGCGUGGGGGAUGACGGCCUUCGGGUUGUAAACCCCUUUCAGUAGGGAAGAAGCGAGAGUGACGGUACCUGCAGAAGAAGCGCCGGCUAACUACGUGCCAGCAGCCGCGGUAAUACGUAGGGCGCAAGCGUUGUCCGGAAUUAUUGGGCGUAAAGAGCUUGUAGGUGGCUUGUCGCGUCUGCCGUGAAAACCCGAGGCUCAACCUCGGGCGUGCGGUGGGUACGGGCAGGCUAGAGUGUGGUAGGGGAGACUGGAACUCCUGGUGUAGCGGUGAAAUGCGCAGAUAUCAGGAAGAACACCGAUGGCGAAGGCAGGUCUCUGGGCCAUUACUGACACUGAGAAGCGAAAGCAUGGGUAGCGAACAGGAUUAGAUACCCUGGUAGUCCAUGCCGUAAACGUUGGGCACUAGGUGUGGGGAACAUUCCACGUUUUCCGCGCCGUAGCU